rnacentral:rRNA from 1 species
AGGGUUUGAUCAUGGCUCAGGAUUAACGCUGGCGGUGUGUCUAAUACAUGCAAGUCGAACGAACCUUUAUGGUUAGUGGCGGACGAGUGAGUAACGCGUUAGAACCUACCCCGUACUCAGGGAUAAGCAUUGGAAACGAUGUCUAAUACCGGAUAGUCCCGCAAGGGUAAAGAUUUAUCGGUACGGGAGGGGCUUGCGUCCCAUCAGUUUGUUGGUAAGGUAAUGGCUUACCAAGACUACGACGGGUAGCUGGUCUGAGAGGAUGAUCAGCCACGAUGGAACUGAGACACGGUCCAUACUCCUACGGGAGGCAGCAGUAAGGAAUCUUCCACAAUGGGCGAAAGCCUGAUGGAGCAACACCGCGUGAUCGACGAAGCCCUUAGGGGUGUAAAGGUCUUUUCUGAGGGAAGAAUUAUGACGGUACCUUAGGAAUAAGCACCGGCUAACUCCGUGCCAGCAGCCGCGGUAAUACGGAGGGUGCAAGCGUUAUCCGGAAUUAUUGGGCGUAAAGCGUCCGCAGGCGGUUUUUCAAGUGUGAUAUUAAAGCCAACAGCUCAACUGUUGUUUUGUGUCACAAACUGUUAAACUAGAGGCUUAGAGAGGUACAUGGAAUUCUGCAUGUAGGG